AUCGAUCUUCGCAAUCGCAAUAUUUCCAGCAUUAUUAGUCAAUUACAAAAAAAAAUUAGACUAUCAAUUGACUGAUGUAUAAUGUUCUCACGUACAUAUUCAUAUAUUCAUAUGUGUAUUCUUGCUUCCUCUAACCUUUUACCAACCGUUUCUAUGAUUUCUCACUAUCGAUAAUGCAAAAUGCGGAUUCGAUCACAUACCGUAUUCUUGAUCAAAUACUUCAAAACCACUGAUACGAUGAUUAUAAAACAACGAUAUAAGAGUCGAAGCAGGAUCAAUUUACAUAGUCUUACAGGAUAUGUAGUUAGAAUUUUUAUUGCUUUGUCGUGCACGUAACGGUGAACGAUAUCGAUCUUGAAUCUGACAAGGACUCGAUCAUUGUUGAACAGUUGGUAGUCGAUAAAACAUGGCGAGGACUCGAUCCAAGGUUCGAUCGUAAUCGUAAUAAAAAGUUUCUCUUACUUGAUAAUUUUACACGUGCAAUUUCAUUAAUUAAGUUCUACAUAAAGCGGACACACGUCUCUACCGGCUCAUUCGGAGUUCUCUAAAAUUCUGGCCACCGCUCCUGGUAGUUUGGAUAAGAAGUUAAUUAUAAACUCGACGAACUUUCUUUGCCAACUUCCUGUAAUGUAAUUAUUUUCGCAGGAAGAAAUUAAUUAUUUGAUGUUCAAAUAUUUGACACAAAAAUUUGUUUGUAUUAUUGAAUUGCAUUGUGUGAAAUAGUGUGAAACGAAUAACAUUCUUACAGAUGUGUGAACAUCUGAAAGGAAAUGAUAUUUCAAAAAUGUACAGACAACGAUUAAUCUAUUAUCAUAUUAAUCAUUGACAUGUUUAACCAUACAGACUUAAUGUCAAGAAUUAGAUUUAUUUUUCUAAGCUAUUUUUGAUGAUAAAGGCUAUAGAGGAGAACUGUACUUAAUUACGGUCAAAUAUGAUACAAAAUUGGCCAUACGACACUAUUAAUACUUACUUGCGUACUAUACAUAAUUAUGAAAUAUUUAUAUUUAAUAUCUUUUAUCUUAUCUUUAUAUAAUUUUACGAACACAUAAAACUAUUAAUACACGCUUGCGUUCUCCGCCUUAUUAUGAAACUUACGUUUAAUAUUUUUUGUCCCAUUUGUGUUAUAUAUCUAUCACAUUUUCGUAAUAUAAUAUCUUAUCAUAAAUUAAAUAGUUUAAUUAAGACAUACGCAUACGAUUUCUUAAUAUGGAUUUACAAAUAUAGUAACAUAAUAAGGAGUCUAAAAAUAUUUGGUUUUCUUCUAGGCCAAAAUAUUUGUUUUAUUUCUAAAUAUCUUUGUAUUUUUUAAGCCUUCGAAUAUCAAACGUAAUCUCAAUUUGAUAACAGACUUCGAAAGAUUUACUUUAUAAAAAGAAAUUCUAAUUAAAGAAAGGACCAGUCAGUAAGUUAAAAUAUUUACAAAGAAAUUUGAUUAUUACAAAAUUACUAAAAAAUAUGUAAUGCUUGCGCUAAGUAUAAUAAUUAUAAUACAAUUAAUAAUACAAGUUUUAUAAGAGUAGAAAUAAGGCAAAAAAGCGCAUUAAAAAAAAGGUUUAACUAGCUUCCAACUGUUAAAUUAGUAUUAAUUCCACGUUGACUCUUAAUCGCAUCUAUUCGAUAAUGCCACCAUCUGGCCAAGGAAUAGAAGGACAAUGCUAAGUGGUGUUCAUUGUCCCAUUUUAUACACAUGCAAUAUGUAAAACAAUGCGAGGUCCGUCAACAAUCUCAUUUUUUUCGUAUUCUUUCAUUACUGUGGCAAUUAAUAGAUGCGAAUUACGUUAUCUGAUUUCAUCGACUUGUCGAGUACACACCAUCCCGGAGGUAUUCGAUUAUGGGUCGUUGCAUUUGUAGCUUUAAAAAGUACAUGUAAAUUUAUCUUACGCAUUCUUGCGUAUUCAUAAAACAAAUAUUGAUAAUUCUCAUAAACGAUACCUGUACAGAAACCCAUAUACAUGGAAGUGACAACGAUGAAUAAAUAACUUUUGCAUUUUGGCGAAGAAUAAAACAGGAGGAACAUAGAUGGAACAGAGAUAAAACGGAUAAAACAUAAGAAGUAAAAUAAUUUCAUUGACAACAUUUUAUCAAACGAUAUAAUCUAACGAGUGUGUACGAUAAUAUAUUUAUAAAAUAAAAUAAUAAACCGGUUAAA